AAGAGUGUAGUAUAUUUGGCAGUAUCGUGAUCUCCAAAAUCAUUGGAAGGUGUUCGAGUCACCUCACUCUUG
rnacentral:tRNA from 1 species